CCUACGUGAGGCAGCAGUGAGGAAUAUUGGUCAAUGGGCGGAAGCCUGAACCAGCCAAGUAGCGUGCAGGAUGACGGCCCUACGGGUUGUAAACUGCUUUUAUACGGGAAUAAAGCGCCUUACGUGUAUGGUUUUGCAUGUACCGUAUGAAUAAGGACCGGCUAAUUCCGUGCCAGCAGCCGCGGUAAUACGGAAGGUCCGGGCGUUCUCCGGCUUUAUUGGGUUUAAAGGGAGCGUAGGCGGCAUGUCAAGCUUGCUGUGAAAUGUCCGGGCUCAACCCGGGCCUUGCAGCGAGAACUGGCGUGCUUGAGACCGCGGACAGCAGGCGGAAUU
rnacentral:rRNA from 1 species